rnacentral:rRNA from 1 species
CUUUUACAAUGAAGAGUUUGAUCCUGGCUCAGGAUGAACGCUAGCUACAGGCUUAACACAUGCAAGUCGAGGGGCAUCAGGAAGAAAGCUUGCUUUCUUUGCUGGCGACCGGCGCACGGGUGAGUAACACGUAUCCAACCUGCCCUUUACUCGGGGAUAGCCUUUCGAAAGAAAGAUUAAUACCCGAUAGCAUAAUGAUUCCGCAUGGUUUCAUUAUUAAAGGAUUCCGGUAAAGGAUGGGGAUGCGUUCCAUUAGGUUGUUGGUGAGGUAACGGCUCACCAAGCCUUCGAUGGAUAGGGGUUCUGAGAGGAAGGUCCCCCACAUUGGAACUGAGACACGGUCCAAACUCCUACGGGAGGCAGCAGUGAGGAAUAUUGGUCAAUGGGCGCUAGCCUGAACCAGCCAAGUAGCGUGAAGGAUGAAGGCUCUAUGGGUCGUAAACUUCUUUUAUAUAAGAAUAAAGUGCAGUAUGUAUACUGUUUUGUAUGUAUUAUAUGAAUAAGGAUCGGCUAACUCCGUGCCAGCAGCCGCGGUAAUACGGAGGAUCCGAGCGUUAUCCGGAUUUAUUGGGUUUAAAGGGAGCGUAGGUGGACUGGUAAGUCAGUUGUGAAAGUUUGCGGCUCAACCGUAAAAUUGCAGUUGAUACUGUCAGUCUUGAGUACAGUAGAGGUGGGCGGAAUUCGUGGUGUAGCGGUGAAAUGCUUAGAUAUCACGAAGAACUCCGAUUGCGAAGGCAGCUCACUGGACUGCAACUGACACUGAUGCUCGAAAGUGUGGGUAUCAAACAGGAUUAGAUACCCUGGUAGUCCACACAGUAAACGAUGAAUACUCGCUGUUUGCGAUAUACAGUAAGCGGCCAAGCGAAAGCAUUAAGUAUUCCACCUGGGGAGUACGCCGGCAACGGUGAAACUCAAAGGAAUUGACGGGGGCCCGCACAAGCGGAGGAACAUGUGGUUUAAUUCGAUGAUACGCGAGGAACCUUACCCGGGCUUAAAUUGCAGUGGAAUGAUGUGGAAACAUGUCAGUGAGCAAUCACCGCUGUGAAGGUGCUGCAUGGUUGUCGUCAGCUCGUGCCGUGAGGUGUCGGCUUAAGUGCCAUAACGAGCGCAACCCUUAUCUUUAGUUACUAACAGGUCAUGCUGAGGACUCUAGAGAGACUGCCGUCGUAAGAUGUGAGGAAGGUGGGGAUGACGUCAAAUCAGCACGGCCCUUACGUCCGGGGCUACACACGUGUUACAAUGGGGGGUACAGAAGGCAGCUAGCGGGUGACCGUAUGCUAAUCCCAAAAGCCUCUCUCAGUUCGGAUCGAAGUCUGCAACCCGACUUCGUGAAGCUGGAUUCGCUAGUAAUCGCGCAUCAGCCACGGCGCGGUGAAUACGUUCCCGGGCCUUGUACACACCGCCCGUCAAGCCAUGGGAGCCGGGGGUACCUGAAGUACGUAACCGCAAGGAUCGUCCUAGGGUAAAACUGGUGACUGGGGCUAAGUCGUAACAAGGUAGCCGUACCGGAAGGUGCGGCUGGAACACCUCCUUUCUGGAG